rnacentral:rRNA from 1 species
UGGCGGCGUGCCUAAUACAUGCAAGUUGAACGCAACAAAGACACCAGAGCUUGCUCUACCGUUUUUGUUGAGUAGCGAACGGGUGAGUAACGCGUGGGUAACCUGCCUUAUAGCGGGGGAUAACUAUUGGAAACGAUAGCUAAUACCGCAUAACAAUAGAGAUUGCAUAAUCUUUAUUUGAAAGUGCCAACUGGUACACUAUGAGAUGGACCCGCGUUGUAUUAGCUAGUUGGUAGUGUAAUGGACUACCAAGGCGAUGAUACAUAGCCGACCUGAGAGGGUGAUCGGCCACAUUGGGACUGAGACACGGCCCAAACUCCUACGGGAGGCAGCAGUAGGGAAUCUUCGGCAAUGGACGAAAGUCUGACCGAGCAACGCCGCGUGAGUGAAGAAGGUUUUCGGAUCGUAAAACUCUGUUGUUAGAGAAGAAUGUUGAUUAGAGUGGAAAAUUAAUCAAGUGACGGUAUCUAACCAGAAAGGGACGGCUAACUACGUG